GGAUCUUUGCUUGUGCAACGACGUCCGCCCUUUCAAGCGUCUUCAUUUAUGGUACAAGAGCAUUGUUGGCCUUGGCCUUCUUGGUUUCCUGUGUUUCAUACCGUAACACGGCAUCGUUCAGUUUCAAUUGUCCCUCGUUCGUCUUGUGAUGCCCGCUCCGGCGUGCGCGUCGCUGAUGAAUCACGAAGUGCCCGUUGCCGUCCUCAUCAGCCAUGUUAACUCGUGUGUUGCAUGCGGCCUGUGACAGGGUUCUUGUACUCAUGGAUGCGGAACCUUCGUAGGGUACGGGGAUUCGUCCCCUUUUUGCCCAAAAACUAAGCGUUCACCGCUAUUUAGCGAACGACCGUCGCUGUCGCUCCAGGUAGGC
rnacentral:misc_RNA from 1 species